GACGAACGCUGGCGGCGUGCUUAACACAUGCAAGUCGAACGGAAAGGCCCUGCUUUUGUGGGGUGCUCGAGUGGCGAACGGGUGAGUAACACGUGAGUAACCUGCCAUUGACUUUGGGAUAACUUCAGGAAACUGGGGCUAAUACCGGAUAGGAGCUCCUGCUGCAUGGUGGGGGUUGGAAAGUUUCGGCGGUUGGGGAUGGACUCGCGGCUUAUCAGCUUGUUGGUGGGGUAGUGGCUUACCAAGGCUUUGACGGGUAGCCGGCCUGAGAGGGUGACCGGCAACAUUGGGACUGAGAUACGGCCCAGACUCCUACGGGAGGCAGCAGUGGGGAAUAUUGCACAAUGGGCGGAAGCCUGAUGCAGCACCGCCGCGUGCGGGAUGACGGCCUUCGGGUUGUAAACCGCUUUCGCCUGUGACGAAGCGUGAGUGACGGUAAUGGGUAAAGAAGCACCGGCUAACUACGUG
rnacentral:rRNA from 1 species